rnacentral:rRNA from 1 species
UACGUAGGGUGCGAGCGUUGUCCGGAAUUAUUGGGCGUAAAGCGCGUGUAGGCGGCUUUGCAAGUCGGGUGUGAAAGCCCUCAGCUCAACUGAGGAAGUGCGCCCGAAACUGCAGAGCUUGAGUACCGGAGAGGGUGGCGGAAUUCCCCAAGUAGAGGUGAAAUUCGUAGAUAUGGGGAGGAACACCGGUGGCGAAGGCGGCCACCUGGACGGUUACUGACGCUGAGACGCGAAAGCGUGGGGAGCAAACAGG